rnacentral:tRNA from 1 species
GGCUCAGUAGCUCAGAGGCAGAGCGUGCGGCCGUUAACCGCAAGGUCGAGAUAUCAUAAUUCUCCUGAGCCUCCA